UGAUAUGAUGUUUUGGUCAAUGGUCUAUC
rnacentral:piRNA from 1 species